CACAUGCAAGUCGAGCGGUAAGGCCCUUCGGGGUACACGAGCGGCGAACGGGUGAGUAACACGUGGGUGAUCUGCCUCGCACUUCGGGAUAAGCCUGGGAAACUGGGUCUAAUACCGGAUAUGACCUGGAACUGCAUGGUUUCGGGUGGAAAGAUUUAUCGGUGCGAGAUGGGCCCGCGGCCUAUCAGCUUGUUGGUGGGGUAAUGGCCUACCAAGGCGACGACGGGUAGCCGGCCUGAGAGGGCGACCGGCCACACUGGGACUGAGACACGGCCCAGACUCCUACGGGAGGCAGCAGUGGGGAAUAUUGCACAAUGGGCGAAAGCCUGAUGCAGCGACGCCGCGUGAGGGAUGACGGCCUUCGGGUUGUAAACCUCUUUCGACAGGGACGAAGCGCAAGUGACGGUACCUGUAGAAGAAGCACCGGCCAACUACGUGCCAGCAGCCGCGGUAAUACGUAGGGUGCGAGCGUUGUCCGGAAUUACUGGGCGUAAAGAGCUUGUAGGCGGUCUGUCACGUCUUCUGUGAAAACUCACAGCUCAACUGUGAGCUUGCAGGCGAUACGGGCAGACUAGAGUACUUCAGGGGAGACUGGAAUUCCUGGUGUAGCGGUGAAAUGCGCAGAUAUCAGGAGGAACACCGGUGGCGAAGGCGGGUCUCUGGGAAGUAACUGACGCUGAGAAGCGAAAGCGUGGGUAGCGAACAGGAUUAGAUACCCUGGUAGUCCACGCCGUAAACGGUGGGUACUAGGUGUGGGUUUCCUUCCACGGGAUCCGUGCCGUAGCUAACGCAUUAAGUACCCCGCCUGGGGAGUACGGCCGCAAGGCUAAAACUCAAAGGAAUUGACGGGGGCCCGCACAAGCGGCGGAGCAUGUGGAU
rnacentral:rRNA from 1 species